rnacentral:lncRNA from 1 species
CCACACGUAAAAACACUUAAUAUAGGAAAAGUGGUGGUAGAGAAUGAAGAUAGAUUACAUGUAUUAGAGGAAGGGACUUUCAUCAAUAUUAGUCCUCUUGCAUAAGUGUCACUUGAUCUGAUUAUCGCGUAACUGCAUAUAGUGUCUUGAAGAGGAAUUCAGAAGUGAGACAAAAUAAUGAGAAAAUUGGUGAUAUCUGUCGACUACUUUGAUUAUUUGUAUGGUUGCAACAGUAGAAUGCAAAAGCUUAUCUAACUUCAUGCUUGAUAUCCGGAGCCCCUAAUCGCCAAGCAAUUGCUACUGUUGCAAUCCCAAGAAUCCACCAACAACAACCUGCAUUAGAUGCAUCAUCGUUUUCUGUAAAAUUCCAACUCUUAGCCCUUGAAGCAGUUAGCUUUCCUCUACCUUCUAAACUUAUUUCAAAAAGAUACAAAGUACUUCUAAGAAGUAAGUAACAUAUGCUACACACAUUUUAAGUAAAAAAAAUAUAGGAUAUAAACAGCUAAUGCAUAAUACCACCACCCUUAUUGUUUUAAAAGGUAAACCCCACGAUAUUUCACUUAGUAUCAAUAUGCUGGUAAUAUGCUGGUUGAGUUUAACUAAGCAAUAUUUAACAUUGCCAAUAAUUAAACAGUUAAUGUUUCUAUAAAUAUCGAGGCAAAGCACACAACUUGAUCUUUUCCGAGCUUUAGGGCUUAAGCGGACGUGUAACAACAUUGGCUUCAAAAAUUAUAUCUCAAGGCGCAUCUGUCCAAAUGCACAUAUUGCAUCAAUUUCCUGAAACUACGACCAUUCAAAAAUAAUACCUAAAUUGCAAUAGAGCAUAUUAGAAAGGUUAUUUUGAAUCACACGCGAUGAUAUUGGAAACCAAAAGGUUUAUCAGGGUGAUACUGUGAUCCAAUUAAACACUUAAUGUUAAUUAACAUGUUUCUUUACACAUGGAGAUUAGACACAAAAUAAAAUACCAAAAUAGGCAACUGGAUUAAAUGGCCAUAACUUCAUAGAAACAUAUUUGCCUUCCUCCCCCUCCCUCCUCACAUUUCCAUGUCUAAACCAAAAAUUAAAAGGGGAUUCAAAUAUAUAGCGAGAGUAAAUGCUAUUAAAACGAUUAAGAGCAAAUAAUUUAUAAGAAAACGCCCUUUUUCCCUUGUGGGUAUAAUAAUCAUAAUCUGUAUGGGGAAUUUUUUGAUAGAGAAAGGAAUACCUGAAGAGAAAGGGUCUUCAGUCAUUUUUCACUACAGAUUCAGAAGCACCAGGUUAAUCCUCAAGAUCUUUUAUGAAUCAGCUACAGAAGAGGAUGAAUAAAUCCAGAAGGCAAUGAAAGCAAGAAGAUUAAAACGAUGUAGAAUAUUUCAGAGAAAGAUAAGGCAUUGAUACGUGCCUUUUCCUUUUUAAGGUCAGAGGACACGUAUCUUAGAUGAUGCAUUAACAGUCCAAAAGGAACUGGAUAUUAUGCAUCUCUGUUAGAGGAAAAGGAAAAUUCAUAUCAAUAGCUAGAUUUUGCUAAUUUUAUAAUAUCCAAGAACAUAUUGCAAUCUCAUAUAUAAACUCCAAAUGCAAGGAAGUUCAUAGAUAAAGUAUUAUAUCCUAACCCUGAAUCUGAAUGUGAAAAUUUACAUAUAACAACAGUCAAACAUACAAUAACAAAGAGCAAAUUUACAUGCCUUUCUCCAUCUUGGUCCAUCUUUAGCCAUAAUAUUCCUGCAAAAGGAAGAAAGAGUUCAAAGCUAAAUUCUUUCUAUAACACAAUUCUGAUUUCAUAAAGUUUUGAUAGCUUAUGUGGACAACUGUAAUAUGAGCUUCAAUCCACUUUAGAACCUUAGCCUGCCUCUAAGAAUUUGCCCCUGGGAAAAAAGAUGUUAAAACACAUUAGGAGGUAUUUUCAAUUUAUCAUACUCUGCCAUGUAUGAACUUACAUAUUGACAGAACGUAAUUGAAAACGUUUUUUUCAUUCACCUGAUACUUCCUCGUUGAAACAAUUGGUCCCACCACCUGAACAUAAUUUUUGAAAUCUCUUGGAACCUUAAAGCAGAUAGAUACGGUUCAGAAUCAAAAUCAGACAUUCAAAAUUAAUAUUUCCACAUAUAAAAUAAUUCAGAAAUAAAAAACACAUAAAGUGAUCUGUAUAUCAGGCUAGACCUACGAAAGUUUUACAGUCACAAAAUAUUGUGAUAACAAAUAAAUAUAAUACGCACCAAAGAGAUAGCAAUUACACCAAAAGGAAAUUGCAGAAGCAAACUCACAAAACCUAGAAAAAGAAGUCGAAGAAGACAUGCAAAAUAUGCCGAUAAACGCAAAUCAGAUACUCAAAAAAAAUUCCAGCAAAAUAAUAGAAAUGGACCCAAGAGAGAUAGCAAGAAAGCGAUGAAC